CAACCACAUCACGUUGAAACACCGGUUCUCGUACGAUCACCGAAGUUAAGCAACGUCGGGCCUUAUCAAUACCUAGAUGGGUGACCGCUUGGGAAUAUCAGCUGCAGUAA